AAAUACAUCUCAAUACCCUGAAGGCAUUAGAUUCCAUCUGAUUUUGGAAGUGAAAUAGGAAUAGGCCUGGUUAGUACUUGGAUGGAAAACCACUAACAAAUUCUGUUGGUUAUAUUUC
rnacentral:rRNA from 1 species